CGCCCCUCAAGCGCCGAUUUGCUCCGGAUUGCGGGCGCUUUCAACAAAUACCGCUAAAGAGGGACACGCACCCGGUGUC
rnacentral:ncRNA from 2 species